AAGUCGUAAUAAGGUCUCCGUUGGUGAACUAGCGGAGGGAUUAUUACCGAGUACUAUAACUCAUAACCCUUUGUGAACCUUCAUACCUGUUGCUUUGGCGGCGCGCCUCUCGGGGCGUGCCUGCCGGCAUUAUCAGAAUCUCUGUUCGAACCCGAUGAUACUUCUGAGUGUUCUAAGCGAACUGUUAAAACUUUUAAUAAUGGAUCUCUUGGCUCUA
rnacentral:misc_RNA from 1 species